GACGAACGCUGGCGGCGUGCUUAAUACAUGCAAGUAGAACGCACAGUUUAUACCGUAGCUUGCUACACCAUAGACUGUGAGUUGCGAACGGGUGAGUAACGCGUAGGUAACCUGUCUGGUAGCGGGGGGUAACUAUUGGAAAUGCUAGCUAAUACCGCCUAAUAUUAAUUAUUGCAUGAUAAUUUAUUGAAAGGUGCAAUUGAACCACUACUAGAUGGACUUGCGUUGUAUUAGUUAGUAGGUGAGGUAUCGGCUCACCUAGGCGCCGAUACAUAGCCGCCCUGAGAGGACGGUCGGCCACACUGGGAGGGUGACACGGCCCAGUGUGCUACGGGUGGCAGCAGGAGGGAUUCUGCGGCAAGCGGCGGAAGUCUGACCGAACAACGCCGCGUGAGGAUAGAAGGUUGUCGGGUCGGAAAGCUCGGUUUUAAGAGUAGAACGGGUGUGAGAGUGUGAAGUUCACACUGUGACGGUAUCGGACCAGAAAGCGACGGCUAACUACGUG
rnacentral:rRNA from 1 species